CAGACCGUAAACGAUGCCAUCUGGCGAUCCAUGGGUGUUAUAUAUGACUCCAUGGGCAGCCACCGGGAAACCUUUAAGUUGGGUUCCGGGGGAAGUAUGGUUGCAAAGCUGAAACUUAAAGGAAUUGACGGAAGGGCACCACCAGGAGUGGAGCCUGCGGCUUAAUUUGACUCAACACGGGGAAACUCACCCGGCCCGGACACUGUAAGGAUUGACAGAUUGAUAGCUCUUUCUUGAUUCGGUGGGUGGUGGUGCAUGGCCGUUCUUAGUUGGUGGAGCGAUUUGUCUGGUUUAUUCCGAUAACGAACGAGACUCUAGCCUACUAAAUAGACAACACUUUCUUUGAGUGUUGCGCUUCUUAGAGGGACAAGCGACGUUUAGUCGCACGAGAUUGAGCAAUAACAGGUCUGUGAUGCCCUUAGAUGUUCGGGGCUGCACGCGCGCUACACUGAAAGCAUCAACAUGCAUAUCAACCUACCUCGGAAGAGGCGGGUAACCCUUUGAAACGCUUUCGUGAUUGGGGAAUUGUGAAUUGCAAUUAUUUUCACAUGAAACGAGGAAUUCCCAGUAAGUCCCGAAAGUCAUCAGCUCGGGUUG
rnacentral:rRNA from 1 species